UAAUACGUAGGGUGCGAGCGUUAAUCGGAAUUACUGGGCGUAAAGCGUGCGCAGGCGGUUGUGUAAGACAGAUGUGAAAUCCCCGGGCUCAACCUGGGAACUGCGUUUGUGACUGCACAACUAGAGUACGGCAGAGGGAGGUGGAAUUCCGCGUGUAGCAGUGAAAUGCGUAGAGAUGCGGAGGAACACCGAUGGCGAAGGCAGCCUCCUGGGCCAGUACUGACGCUCAUGCACGAAAGCGUGGGGAGCAAACAGGAUUAGAUACCCUGGUAGUCCACGCCCUAAACGAUGUCAACUAGUUGUUCGGUGAGGAGACUCAUUGAGUAACGCAGCUAACGCGUGAAGUUGACCGCCUGGGGAGUACGGCCGCAAGGUUAAAACUCAAAUGAAUUGACGG
rnacentral:rRNA from 1 species